rnacentral:lncRNA from 1 species
AGACACACCUCUACCACUGGAGCCAAUCGCCGCGGAGAGGGUGUUAAAUCUCCUGCCACGCAGGCGGAGAUCCUGGGAAGUCACCCGUUAACCCUACAGAUUCUCCCCGGGAGGAGUUCUUCCAACUAUCAUCCCUGAAGGCAGCCUUGCACGGGACGCUUUAGUGUUUGAAAGACUAGGAAAAACUCGCGACUGCCAAAGUCUACAGGGUGUUUUGGCCCGUUUAAACCAGGGAAAUAGAUGCGUAAAUACCUUUCAGUUAACAGAAUACGGUCACAGGAAUUCCGAAGCAGCUUUGGCCAACAAUGAACAAAACAUUUAUUUUGAGGAAUGUCUGAAGGAUUGACACAGGAAGUUACUCUUAAAGUCACGAAGGAUAUGAUAAGUAGGAGUACUUCGGAAGUCUACGAGAUAAAGAGUUUUCCAGGCAGUGGGAACAACAACAACAACGCAGCGCCUUCUGGAAGUUUCUUGUUAGAAGUUUAAGAGUUCGCUUUCUGAGACAAAAGAAAAUGUGAAGACGUGGUAGCUCACAUUGUGUAAUCCUCAGGCUAUCAGAAACUGAGGCUGGAGGAUCACUUGACCUCUGGAAUGUAAAGCCAAACUGAUAACUUAGUGAGAUCCUAUUUCAGAGUACAGUCUAUCACUGGGUUGGGGGGGAGAAUGGAAGAGCCCUUUUAGCCCCGAGACCACCGCCAUCAGGGCUGAGGAUCAAGCUAGAUCUUUAAAGGUCUUGUAAAAUUUGGAAUAAUAAACCUAGGAUUCGUUUUAUAC